rnacentral:lncRNA from 1 species
AUGAAUUUUGUGAAGUAGCUUAGUGUUGAUUGCGAAUAGGAAGCAUGCUCACUUAGGACCGGACGAGGCCUUAGUGAUUUAAUAAUGAUAUUAGUCUAUGUUUGAUUUGCUUGUUUAACUUUAAAACCAUGUUUAAUAUUUAAUGAAAUGAAACUCUUCGUAUCCAUGGUUUGAAACAAUAAUUCUGUUACAACACUCCCCGGCGUUUCCGCCACGAUUUGUCGUUUUACGUGGUCGGGGUGUGACAGAAGAGUUGGUAUCAGAGCCAAUGGUUAUAGAGAAUUAGGUUAUUAGUAAAAUUUCGACCUAGACUAUAACUUUCUAGGCCCCCAACGCAAGUUGAUUUGCGUUUAGGAUAAAAAAAACGAAAUCCGAAUCUGCUUCAAAAAUUAAUCGUCCGUUCUAGGAUGAUUAAUUACUAGGUUUUGAACCCUCCCAUUUUGAUUCAUUUUUGGCUUAGUGCCUUCUGAGUUUUCA